rnacentral:rRNA from 1 species
CCUACGGGUGGCAGCAGUGGGGAAUAUUGCGCAAUGGGCGAAAGCCUGACGCAGCGACGCCGCGUGAGGGAUGAAGGUCUUCGGAUCGUAAACCUCUGUCAGCAGGGAAGAACGGUCACUGUGCUAAUCAGCAGUGAAUUGAAGGUACCUGCAAAGGAAGCACCGGCUAACUACGUGACAGCAGCCGCGGUAAUCCGGAGGGUGCGAGCGUUAAUCGGAAUUACUGGGCGUAAAGCGAUCGUAGGCGGGAUGUCCAGCCAAGUGUGAAAUCCCCGCGCUCAAGGUGGGAACUGCCUUUGAAACGGGCAAACUGGAGGGUGGGAGAGGAUAGUGGAAUUCCAGGUGUAGGAGUGAAAUGCGUAGAUAUCUGGAGGAACAUCAGUGGCGAAGGCGACUAUCUGGCACAUAACUGACGCUGAGGAGCGAAAGCGUGGGUAGCAAACAGGAUUAGAUACCCUGGUAGUC